UACGAAGGGGGCUAGCGUUGCUCGGAAUUACUGGGCGUAAAGCGCACGUAGGCGGGUUGUUAAGUCGGGGGUGAAAGCCUGUGGCUCAACCACAGAAUUGCCUUCGAUACUGUUUGGCUUGAGACCGGAAGAGGUUAGUGGAACUGCGAGUGUAGAGGUGAAAUUCGUAGAUAUUCGCAAGAACACCAGUGGCGAAGGCGGCUGACUGGUCCGGUUCUGACGCUGAGGCGCGAAAGCGUGGGGAGCAAACAGG
rnacentral:rRNA from 1 species